rnacentral:rRNA from 1 species
UAGUAACCGGUAUAAUGCGGGGUUACCCCGGUGCCUCGUAAUUGGUUCUGAUGCUAAAAGGAAGGGUUUUCUCGGUACCGAAAAUUGUAUUUUUUUAGGACCCACUGCGAGGGGCUUUCGGUUUGCACCGAGCUUGGGGGAAAGGUGGGUCAAACAGUUAGCUCCUUGUUAUCCCGCCCUAAAAAUGAGUGCUAGUGUGGGGGUUACAUACCUCAGUGCGCACGAAGCAAAAGCACCCGCUGGGAGUCGCUCGCAUAGUCCACUGAAUGAAUGAGGGGGCCCCACAGCGGGGAGCUGUGGUUAAUAGAAGGACGGAAGUUCCUACCAGUCUUGCAUGCCGCUGGCGUCCAGAGAUAGGCUUCCUUGGGGCAGCGGUACAGGUGGUGCAUGGUUGUCGUCAGCUCGUGUCGUGAGAUGUUGGGUUAAGUCCCGCAACGAGCGCAACCCUUAUCUUUAGUUGCCAGCAUUCAGUUGGGCACUCUAGAGAGAAUGCCGUCGACAAGACGGAGGAAGGCGGGGAUGACGUCAAAUCAUCAUGCCCCUUAUGGGCUGGGCUACACACGUGCUACAAUGGCUGGUACAACGGGAAGCUAGCUCGCGAGAGUAUGCCAAUUUCUUAAAACCAGUCUCAGUUCGGAUUGCAGGCUGCAACUCGCCUGCAUGAAGUCGGAAUCGCUAGUAAUCGCGGAUCAGCAUGCCGCGGUGAAUACGUUCCCGGGCCUUGUACACACCGCCCGUCACACCACGGGAGUUAGCAACACCCGAAGCGUAUGAGUAUGUCCUGCUCAGAUCAAGCU